rnacentral:sRNA from 12 species
AUAUAUACUAUAGUCACAUUGGAUCCCAGUGAAGUCAUCUUGCUGAUGGCUGGGGCCCAGCCAAGAAAGGCGACAAUGUGGGAUGCUGCAUUGGAACCAAGACCUCAGUUGAGGUAUUCGGGACUAGAAAACCGCUUUGGUUGGUGGCGCAUUACGCUCUUCGAUGUAAACGACUGUUUGGGCAGGCACGACAAGAGGCUCUGUAGCAAUACAUCCCACGUGAUGAUGCUAGCGUGAGAAACUAGCAUCUGCGUUCUCAAAAGAAGUGCUCGGUUUGACGGAUGGUAACAUCCUAUAACUGUCUUAACAGGUACCAGUAGGGAAACACCGGAUAGUAGUUUCUAGUAAAUGAUGAUCCUGCUGAAGCUUCCUGAGGGUUGAAAGGUAAUCUGAGUCCUUCCCGUUGUUCGGUAGAAAUACCCAUUCCAGAAGUAUGUGGGCCGCUCCCACCUACUCAGCCUGGCGUGAACGUGCGUGAAUAACAAAUUAGAGUAAGUAAUGUAUGACGAAGGUCACCAGUGUUUUUUUAAUAAAA